rnacentral:lncRNA from 1 species
AGCUGGGGUUCUUACCCACUCCAGUGACUGCCUCUCAGAAAAGAACAGGGCAAUGUCCAUUCUCCUUUUAUUUUCUUUAAGCACCUGAUCAUUCUAAAAGCAUGUGUUCCUCUGUGUGUGUGAGUUAUGUACAUGUGUGUGUGUUUCCCUUUCUUUUCUCGGACUCCAGGCUCAUGACUGCUUAUUUGCAUGGUGUUUCGGUGUCAAAGGAGUGUCAAAUGUCUUCUCCACAUACCCAGCUUUAUUCUACUCUAGGAGUUUAACUUCUUCAACAUUGUUGUGGGGUCCCUGGUGACCUCAGUUUCUCCUCUCCGCAUCAUCCAGGACUUCACCUGAAGCUUGAGCUACAUGUAAGGCUUCAUAUACCUUGGACAGGGCAAUGGAGAGAGGAUGGCAUACCAGAAUCACCAGAUGACAGACAUCGGGGUGCCGUUGGACCCGGGAAUCAGAAUCUCUGCAGAUAGGUAUUUUGGAAGGUGCUCCCUAGAUUGGCAUCUCUGGUUAGAACCCUGCCCAGGGACUGGACAAGUUGAGCCCAUGGCUCAUAUCUGGCCAGUGUUUAUUGCUUUGUUGAAUCACACUUAAUCCUUUGGUUUUGGUAGAUUCCUGCAAGUAGACUGACAGCUGCAUGUUUGCAGGAAAGUUAAAUAUUUUGACAGCGCAGAAGACUGCUGCAUCUGGAGGGUUCUGGGUCCAGCUAUAACCAGACUUGCCUGUCCUAGGCAAGUGGAUUGACUGCUUCCGGCGUCCUCACUUUACUUCUGCAUGGUGACCAACAUCCGGAGCUUAAUUACCUGACAGCCAGGAGGUAGGGAGCAAAGGAAACUUUUAAUUUAUAGUAAGAAGUGAUCAGUUCCUUUUUUGGGUCUUAGUUAGAAUCCAGGUGCACUUGAAACAAUAAAACCUUGUAUAGUUUUCUCCUAUAAGAAACUUCUCAGAUAGUUACCAAAAUCCUGGAAAAAUAUAUAUUGGUCAAUAUACCACAAUUCCCACAAGAGGUAAAUAUUUACAAAAUUUACUUUGGGCAGUGAUGCUGCAAGAAUAUUAAAAGGCGUUGACUUUAUCAUCAAGUGAAUUAUUUCUUAAUUUUUUAAAAUUUAAAUCACAAUAUGUUUGACAAGCUACAGCAGUAGGAAAACACCUUUGCUUUAAACAAAACUACCUUUUCUCAGCAAGAACAGUUACUAGAGUGGGAAAUAAGGUUAAUUUCAGUUUUAUUAAUCAUAUCUGAAAUGAAAUAAUUUUACAACUCUCCCCUCUAACCUCGUAGCUGGACAACUUAGAAUAUUUAUUUAUUUCUUCUUCAGAGAAAAUAAGAGUGGAUGUUACCUUUAAGCAACAUACACAUUUAAUUAAUGAACGCAAGGAAAAUGAUUCUGGCUGUAGUUAAAUCAGGCACAAGCAUGUAGGAUUUAAGAGAUCUGACCUUAAAAAUGAAGAAAAUAUUAUUGUAAUUACUCCAUUUGCUAAAAACAAAUGAUGUGGCAUUUGAAUUUAAGACUUCUAUCAAAAGCAGUUGAGUGUCUGUAAUCAGUUCGCACCUUUACAUUUUAAUGGAGUUGAGGUUGAGCCGUUGCAUUUACAAUUAUCUAGGCUGACUUCAUGCCUUUGAAAUGACUUAUAAAGAUUAGCAUUCAUGGAUUAUUUAUUAGCUCCUCGUGAACGUAUUUCCAAGAAUGGAAACAACAUAUUGCAUCAAAGUCUAGUUUCCAGGUUUAACUCUUUUAAUUAACAGCAUGACUGUACGAUGCUGCAAAAGGCAUCUCUGAAGUCACAGGACAUUUUGUCAUGUUUUUCUCUUCAAGUGCAUCUUUAGUAGCAGUCUUUGUUCCUUGCAAGCUCAGGGAGAAUGUUGAUUCCAGCCCUGGCGGCUGCCUGAGAUGCCCUGUAAACACUACGGCUAGCAGAAAGCAGGCUGCUCAGGGGGGCAAUGCAGCUGAUCCCAGCCUGCUGUAGCUAUCACUGAUAGGGAAUGCCUGUCUGGAGCUCGGCAGAGAACUCAAUGACAUGAUGGCCUUGGCAGUUUAACCCAAACACACUUUCUGCCUAGAUAACAAAAAUGUCACGCCUGAGUCCUUGACAGCAACUCCAGAGGAGCUCCAGGUUUGAGGCAGCGCUGGCAGGACGUGGUAUAUCUGCCAUCUGAAGCCCUUCAUUGCCCGCCUGGCUGUGAAUCUCACCUCCUCUGUAGUGGAAAACAGGCCGAACAGACCUGGCAGGCAGGUAAGGGACAGCAAACCUUGCAGGGAGGGCCUAGUGCUGAAGCUAAGCCAGCCCUUUGAGUUCAAGCUCAAAGGCAUGUGAUGCCAGCUUUGCAGGGGAGCUAAGAUUCUUCCGAGAAAAAGGAGAACGAGAGAGAGAUACGCAGCUGCAGUGGAGGACUUGGAAGAGAACAACGCCAGGGCCUGGAUCCUGCAAGAAUCUCCUCUGGAAAAGCAGGGGAGAGAAAAGCAGGAAGGAACAGGGUCACUGCAAGUGUGGGAUUUGUCUUAUUAAAAUCUGAUACUGUGUGGCAGUUUGCUUCACUCUUGGUAUAAGAAGUCUGAGCUCCAUGUUAAAGUAAAUGUAAGUAAUAUAAAUCUGCCUUUCCCGAGGUGAAAAUAGAUCCAUAUUAUUUAAAAUAUGAACGGAGAUAGAUGACAGUUACAAACAUUAUACUUGUUCUUAUUAUAAUUCUUAGUAAGCUCAAGGAAUAAAAACUGGGAUGAUGAAAAAGAAGUUCUGAACAUAACGAUUGAUGUUUUGGAUAAAAUACAGACCAACUCAGAAAUGAUG